rnacentral:rRNA from 1 species
CGGGUGGUAAUGCCGGAUGCUCCAUCACACCGCAUGGUGUGUUGGGAAAGCCUUUGCGGCAUGGGAUGGGGUCGCGUCCUAUCAGCUUGAUGGCGGGGUAACGGCCCACCAUGGCUUCGACGGGUAGCCGGCCUGAGAGGGCGACCGGCCACAUUGGGACUGAGAUACGGCCCAGACUCCUACGGGAGGCAGCAGUGGGGAAUAUUGCACAAUGGGCGCAAGCCUGAUGCAGCGACGCCGCGUGAGGGAUGGAGGCCUUCGGGUUGUAAACCUCUUUUGUUAGGGAGCAAGGCAUUUUGUGUUGAGUGUACCUUUCGAAUAAGCACCGGCUAACUACGUGCCAGCAGCCGCGGUAAUACGUAGGGUGCAAGCGUUAUCCGGAAUUAUUGGGCGUAAAGGGCUCGUAGGCGGUUCGUCGCGUCCGGUGUGAAAGUCCAUCGCUUAACGGUGGAUCCGCGCCGGGUACGGGCGGGCUUGAGUGCGGUAGGGGAGACUGGAAUUCCCGGUGUAACGGUGGAAUGUGUAGAUAUCGG